rnacentral:rRNA from 1 species
AUUGAACGCUGGCGGCAUGCCUUACACAUGCAAGUCGAACGGCAGCACGGGAGCAAUCCUGGUGGCGAGUGGCGAACGGGUGAGUAAUAUAUCGGAACGUGCCCAGUCGUGGGGAUAACACAGCGAAAGCUGUGCUAAUACCGCAUACGAUCUACGGAUGAAAGCGGGGGAUCGCAAGACCUCGCGCGAUUGGAGCGGCCGAUAUCAGAUUAGCUAGUUGGUGGGGUAAAGGCCCACCAAGGCGACGAUCUGUAGCUGGUCUGAGAGGACGACCAGCCACACUGGAACUGAGACACGGUCCAGACUCCUACGGGAGGCAGCAGUGGGGAAUUUUGGACAAUGGGCGCAAGCCUGAUCCAGCAAUGCCGCGUGCAGGAUGAA